rnacentral:rRNA from 1 species
CCUACGGGAGGCAGCAGUGAGGAAUAUUGGUCAAUGGGCGUAAGCCUGAACCAGCCAAGUCGCGUGAGGGAUGAAGGUUCUAUGGAUCGUAAACCUCUUUUAUAAGGGAAUAAAGUGCGGGACGUGUCCCGUUUUGUAUGUACCUUAUGAAUAAGGAUCGGCUAACUCCGUGCCAGCAGCCGCGGUAAUACGGAGGAUCCGAGCGUUAUCCGGAUUUAUUGGGUUUAAAGGGUGCGUAGGCGGCUUUUUAAGUCAGCAGUGAAAGUUUGGGGCUCAACCAUAGAAUUGCCGUUGAUACUGGAAGUCGUGAGUACAUUUGAGGCAGGCGGAAUUCGUGGUGUAGCGGUGAAAAGCUUAGAUAUCACGAAGAA